rnacentral:rRNA from 1 species
UACGUAGGGGGCUAGCGUUGUCCGGAAUCAUUGGGCGUAAAGCGCGUGUAGGCGGCCCGGUAAGUCCGCUGUGAAAGUCGGGGGCUCAACCCUCGGAUGCCGGUGGAUACUGUCGGGCUUGAGUACGGAAGAGGCGAGUGGAAUUCCUGGUGUAGCGGUGAAAUGCGCAGAUAUCAGGAAGAACACCCGUGGCGAAAGCGGCUCUCUGGAACGGUACUGACGCUGAGACGCGAAAGCGUGGGGAGCGAACAGG